CCUACGGGAGGCAGCAGUGGGGAAUUUUGGACAAUGGGCGAAAGCCUGAUCCAGCCAUGCCGCGUGUGUGAAGAAGGUCUUCGGAUUGUAAAGCACUUUAAGUUGGGAGGAAGGGUUGUUUCCUAAUACGAAGCAAUUUUGACGUUACCGACAGAAUAAGCCCCGGCUAACUUCGUGCCAGCAGCCGCGGUAAU
rnacentral:rRNA from 1 species